rnacentral:rRNA from 1 species
UACAGAGGAUGCAAGCGUUAUCCGGAAUGAUUGGGCGUAAAGCGUCUGUAGGUGGCUUUUUAAGUCCGCCGUCAAAUCCCAGGGCUCAACUCUGGACAGGCGGUGGAAACUACCAAGCUGGAGUACGGUAGGGGCAGAGGGAAUUUCCGGUGGAGCGGUGAAAUGCGUAGAGAUCGGAAAGAACACCGGUGGCGAAAGCGCUCUGCUAGGCCGCAACUGACACUCAUGGACGAAAGCUAGUGGAGCGAAUGGG